UGGCUCAGAUGGUAAAGCAUCUGCCUGCAAUGCAGGAGACCUAGGUUCAAUCCCUGG
rnacentral:tRNA from 1 species